UACGUAGGGGGCAAGCGUUGUCCGGAUUUAUUGGGCGUAAAGAGCGUGUAGGCGGUCUGGUAGGUCCGUUGUGAAAACUCGAGGCUCAACCUCGAGACGCCGAUGGAAACCAUCAGACUAGAGUCCGGAAGAGGAGAGUGGAAUUUCUGGUGUAGCGGUGAAAUGCGCAGAUAUCAGGAAGAACACCCGUGGCUAAGGCGGCUCUCUAGUACGGUACUGACGCUGAGACGCGAAAGCGUGGGGAGCGAACAGG
rnacentral:rRNA from 1 species